UCUACGGGCGGCUGCAGUGGGGGAUAUUGCACAAUGGGGGAAACCCUGAUGCAGCGACGCCGCGUGUGGGAAGACGGUCCUCUGGAUUGUAAACCACUGUCCCCAGGGACGAAGAUGACGGUACCUGGGGACGAAGCUCCGGCUAACUACGUGCCAGCAGCCGCGGUAAUACGUAGGGAGCGAGCGUUGUCCGGAAUGACUGGGUGUAAAGGGAGCGUAGGCGGGGAUGCAAGUUGGGGGUCAAAACUACCGGCUCAACUGGUAGUCGCACUCAAAACUGCAGCUCUUGAGUGAAGUAGAGGCAGGCGGAAUUCGUGGUGUAGCGGUGAAAUGCGUAGAUAUUAGGAGGAACACCGGUGGCGAAGGCGGCCUGCUGGACUGCGACUGACGUUGAGGCCCGAAAGCGUGGGGAGCAAACAGGAUUAGAUACCCGGGUAGUC
rnacentral:rRNA from 1 species